rnacentral:lncRNA from 1 species
GAGGCUGCUAUAGCUGCCGAACUUGUUGCCUAAUCUGACCCAUGAAUCGGUCGGUGUUCCGAAAGCGGGAGUUACCGAAGAUUUUAGAGCAGUCUUGAGUCAAAUACCAGGGGUUACGUUUUCGGCAACCUAGCGAGAUUCUUUCUAGCUUUUUGCGUCUCCGCGUGUUAAGAGUUAGGUAGGGCUUAGGGUAACGGGGGGCGUUGUCUGACUUCGUCACACCAGUUUUCGCGAUUUUGUUCUUUAUUUGUUGCUGACAAGGAUCCCCCGGGGCGCUGCCCUGAUUACUGCCAAUCGCAGCUCUAAACC